AUUGAACGCUGGCGGCAGGCCUAACACAUGCAAGUCGAACGAGUGGCGGACGGGUGAGUAAUGUCUGGGGAACUGCCUGAUGGCGGGGGAUAACUACUGGAAACGGUAGCUAAUACCGCAUACCAUCAGAUGUGCCCAGAUGGGAUUAGCUAGUUGGUGGGGUAACGGCUCACCAAGGCGACGAUCCCUAGCUGGUCUGAGAGGAUGACCAGGCCCAACUGAAAUGCGACACGGGCCCGACUCCUACGGGAGGCAGCAGUGGGGAAUAUUUCACCAUGGGCGCAAGCCCUAUUGAGCCAUGCCGGGUGGAUGAAGAAGGCCCUCCGGUUUUAAAAUACCUUUCGGUGGGAGGCGUUACCCGCCGAAGAAGCCCCGGCUAACCCCGUGGCCGCAGCCGCGGUAAUAC
rnacentral:rRNA from 1 species